rnacentral:rRNA from 1 species
UCCUUGUCGGGUAAGUUCCGACCUGCACGAAUGGCGUAACGAUGGCGGCAAUUGAAAUCGCUGUGAAGAUGCAGUGUAUCCGCGGCUAGACGGAAAGACCCCGUGAACCUUUACUAUAGCUUUGCACUGGACUUUGAAUUUGCUUGUGUAGGAUAGGUGGGAGGCUUUGAAGCGUGGACGCCAGUCUGCGUGGAGCCUCCCUUGAGAUACCACCCUUGUUCUGCUUGAUGUCUAACCGCGGUCCAUUAUCUGGAUCCGGGACCCUGUGUGGCGGGUAGUUUGACUGGGGCGGUCGCCUCCUAAAGCGUAACGGAGGCGCGCGAAGGUUGGCUCAGAGCGGUCGGAAAUCGCUCGUUGAGUGCAAUGGCAGAAGCCAGCCUGACUGCGAGACUGACAAGUCGAGCAGAGUCGAAAGACGGCCAUAGUGAUCCGGUGGUCCCAAGUGGGAGGGCCAUCGCUCAACGGAUAAAAGGUACGCCGGGGAUAACAGGCUGAU